AGUGAACGCUGGCGGUAGGCCUAACACAUGCAAGUCGAACGGCAGCACAGUAAGAGCUUGCUCUUACGGGUGGCGAGUGGCGGACGGGUGAGGAAUACAUCGGAAUCUACUUUUUCGUGGGGGAUAACGUAGGGAAACUUACGCUAAUACCGCAUACGACCUACGGGUGAAAGCAGGGGAUCUUCGGACCUUGCGCGAUUGAAUGAGCCGAUGUCGGAUUAGCUAGUUGGCGGGGUAAAGGCCCACCAAGGCUACGAUCCGUAGCUGGUCUGAGAGGAUGAUCAGCCACACGGGAACUGAGACACGGUCCAGACUCCUACGGGAGGCAGCAGUGGGGAAUAUUGGACAAUGGGCGCAAGCCUGAUCCAGCCAUACCGCGUGGGUGAAGAAGGCCUUCGGGUUGUAAAGCCCUUUUGUUGGGAAAGAAAAGCAGCAGGUUAAUACCCCGCUGUUCUGACGGGACCCAAAGAAUAAGCACCGGCUAACUUCGU
rnacentral:rRNA from 1 species